UACGUAGGUGGCAAGCGUUGUCCGGAAUUAUUGGGCGUAAAGCGCGCGCAGGCGGCCUUUUAAGUCUGAUGUGAAAGCCCACGGCUCAACCGUGGAAGGUCAUUGGAAACUGAAAGGCUUGAGUACAGAAGAGGAAAGCGGAAUUCCACGUGUAGCGGUGAAAUGCGUAGAGAUGUGGAGGAACACCAGUGGCGAAGGCGGCUUUCUGGUCUGUAACUGACACUGAGGCGCGAAAGCGUGGGGAGCAAACAGG
rnacentral:rRNA from 1 species